rnacentral:rRNA from 1 species
AUACGGAGGAUCCGAGCGUUAUCCGGAUUUAUUGGGUUUAAAGGGUGCGCAGGCGGGAGAUUAAGUCGGCGGUGAAAUUUUGCAGCUCAAAUGUAAAAGUGCCUUCGAAACUGGUUUCCUUGAGUGUAGAUGAAGUAGGCGGAAUUUGUGGUGUAGCGGUGGAAUGCAUAGAUAUCACGAGGAACUCCGAUUGCGCAGGCAGCUUACUAAACUACUACUGACGCUCAGGCACGAAGGCGUGGGGAUCAAACAGGAUUAGAUACCCUGGUAGUCCACGCAGUAAACGAUGAUUACUAGCUGUUUGCGAUACAAUGUAAGCGGCUGAGCGAAAGCGUUAAGUAAUCCACCUGGGGAGUACGUUCGCAAGAAUGAAACUCAAAUGAAUUGGCGGGG